UGGAGAGAUGGCUGAGUGGUUGAUAGCUCCGGUCUUGAAAACCGGUAUAGUUCUAGGAACUAUCGAGGGUUCGAAUCCCUCUCUCUCC
rnacentral:tRNA from 2 species